rnacentral:rRNA from 1 species
CCUACGGGAGGCUGCAGUCGUGAAUUUUCGGCAAUGGACGAAAGUCUGACCGAGCGACGCCGCGUGUGGGAUGAAGGUCUUCGGAUUGUAAACCACUGUCGAGGGGAAUCAAAGGUUUGGGGGUUCUCCCCCUUAUUUGAGAGAACCCUGGAGGAAGGGGAGGCUAAGCUCGUGCCAGCAGCCGCGGUAAGACGAGCUCCCCAAACGUUAUUCGGUAUCACUGGGCUUAAAGAGUUCGUAGGCGGCGAAGUAGGUGAGGUGUGAAAGCCCUCGGCCCAACCGAGGAAUUGCGCUUCAAACCGCUUUGCUAGAGGGAGAUAGGGGUAAGCGGAACAGAUGGUGGAGCGGUGAAAUGCAUUGAUAUCAUCUGGAACACCGGUGGCGAAAGCGGCUUACUGGAUCUUUUCUGACGCUGAGGAACGAAAGCUAGGGUAGCGAACGGGAUUAGAUACCCUUGUAGUC